rnacentral:rRNA from 1 species
UACAGAGGUCUCAAGCGUUGUUCGGAUUCAUUGGGCGUAAAGGGUGCGUAGGUGGCGGGGCAAGUCUGGUGUGAAUCCCGGGGCUCAACCCCGGAACUGCACUGGAUACUGCCUUGCUUGAGCACUGGAGAGGGAACUGGAAUUUACGGUGUAGCAGUGAAAUGCGUAGAUAUCGUAAGGAAGACCAGUGGCGAAGGCGAGUUCCUGGACAGUUGCUGACACUGAGGCACGAAGGCUAGGGGAGCAAACGGG